GACGAACGCUGGCGGCGUGCCUAAUACAUGCAAGUAGAACGCUGAAGGAGGAGCUUGCUUCUCCGGAUGAGUUGCGAACGGGUGAGUAACGCGUAGGUAACCUGCCUGGUAGCGGGGGAUAACUAUUGGAAACGAUAGCUAAUACCGCAUAAGAGUAGAUGUUGCAUGACAUUUGCUUAAAAGUUGCAAUUGCAUCACUACCAGAUGGACCUGCUUUGUAUUGGCUAGUUGGUGGGGUAACGGCUCACCAAGGGGACGCUACAUAGCCGACCUGAGAGGGGGAGAGGCCAAACUGGGACUGGGAAAAGGGCCAGAAGCAUACGGGAGGCAGCAGUAGGGAAUCUUCGGCAAUGGACGGAAGUCUGAACGAGCAACGACGGGUGAGGGAAGAAGGUUUUCGGAUCGUAAAGCUCUGUUGUAAGAGAAGAAAGAGUGUGAGAGUGGAAAGUUCACACUGUGACGGUAUCUUACCAGAAAGGGACGGCUAACUACGUG
rnacentral:rRNA from 1 species